rnacentral:lncRNA from 1 species
GGUCCCCCAGGACCAAUUGCGAGACAAUUUGCACCCGGCGCCGUGCAAGAGUAGAAACACGUCGGGGUGGGCGGCAUCGGCGCACGUCGUGGUGUCGAUCGGGCACCCAUUGUCCAACAGGAACCGAACCGUGCCGGGCUUGCCCGCCUUGGCAGCCGCGCGCAGGGCACGGCCGUGGACGGGCGCACCAAUACUGUAGAGGUAUCGCACACACUGCAGUUUGCCGGAUCGCGCGGCGGCCUCGAUGGCAUAGUCGUCGUAUGGACACCCGUGUUGGAUGGCAUAGACAAGACAGUCGAGGUGACCACUAUAGGCGGCGGCCGACACGGUGCGCCGCCCCCAAGGGUACCCGUUUGUGUGCGCAUACUGCAGACACGCCAAAUGGCCUUUGGAGGCGGCGGCCUCGCAUGUCUUGUUGCUCGAAAACCAAUCGACGCCCGCGUGUGUGUCGCGCAGGUACCGCAGGCAGUCAAUGUGUCCGCCACGGGCGGCGGCUGUGGACACGCUGAUGCCGACCGAGAAUCCGUUCUCGAUGAGUGCGCGCAGGCAAUCCAUGUGACCGCCUCGCGCGGCGGCAGCGACCACGUCGACGUCACUGUCUCCAUAACACGAGUCGGCGCCCAACCCUCGGUCCAAUAGAUACAGAAGACAGUCGAUCCGUCCGUGGCGCGCUGCGCCUUCGAGCAGGGAAAAGGCAUCCCAUGCGCCUCUUGACAUGAUCCACUCGAUGGCGGCAAUAUGGCCGCCGCCGGCCGCAGCAGCGCACAAGUCGCCGUUAUCCGCUUCAUUUAUGGUCCAAUGGGAGUAGUUCUCGAUAAUGUCCAAGCACUCGGUGCUGCCGCCAGCGGCGGCCGUCACCCACGUAUCGCGACCACAAACGCAGCCGAUGCUCGCAGCGUAGGCGAGACAAGCGACGUGACCCCUUUUGGCGGCCUCGUCGCAUGUCCGGGAGUCUGACGGGCAUCCGUUGCGGUGAGCGUAUUCAAGACAGUCGAGGUGCCCGCCAGCGGCGGCAGCCUUGGGCGUACACUCGUCCCACGGGCACCCGUUGGUAUGGGCGUACUCUAGACACGUGAGGUGACCGCCGGCGGCAGCAGCCGCACACACGUUGGCGCCCCAGGAACGGCCGCGCAAGCGUGCAUACCCCAGGCAAUCGACGUGGCCUGCCGCAGCCGCCUGAUGGCACAGCGUGUAGCGGCGGCUCUUGGGGCCGACACAGGGCCGCCUGCCCGUGGCAUAAGCGUCGCUGGCCACAGAUUGCCACUGGCGGCUCACCAGCGGCAAGGUCCGUCUCACAUCAAGACACGGCACCCAGGAAAAGACGAGACCGAGAAUUUCGUUGGGAAGGCAUUGGACAGACAUCCUAUGAUUUCGACCGUCGAUCUUUCUGUGUCUCUCUUUUUUUUCUUUUGUUGCUUUGGCGUCGUCUGUGGACCGAGGAGCACGCAGACAAUAACAACAACAAAAAUAAUGAAAAAGAGAGGCUUUGGCUUUUCGCGCCGUCUCGGUCAUUGUCCC